rnacentral:snRNA from 1 species
CAACUGAGGGAGAUAUGUCUGCACAGUGUGUCAUUCCACUGAUUGCCAGGGUUAAUUCAACUGAUCAGACUGGCUAAGCAGGUCUCCCCUUCCUUCCUCACAUGUUCUAUGUGCAUCCUUCCCUCCAUUGAAUGCUCGGUCGAAGUGGAGGACCUUUCCUGAAUAGAGAAGGACCAGUGUUCUCAAUCCAUAGGAAUAGCUGUGAUCACCUGCUAGAACCUUCAAACAAGCUCUCAAGCUUCAUAUUAAAUCGUAUUCUUAUACACAGAGAUAGGUAUAACUAUCACCCCUCAUCAAAGAAGCUUCUUUUUAUAGCAAGUGGAUAUGACCACAGAA